rnacentral:rRNA from 1 species
CAGGCCUAACACUGCAAGUCGAGCGCGAAAGUACCUUCGGGUGCGAGUAGAGCGGCGGACGGGUGCGUAACGCGUAGGAAUCUGCCUGGUAGUGGGGGAUAACUCGGGGAAACUCGAGCUAAUACCGCAUACGCCCCAUGGGGGAAAGCGGGGGACUUCGGGCCUCGCGCUAUCAGAUGAGCCUGCGUCGGAUUAGCUAGUUGGUAGGGUAAUGGCCUACCAAGGCGACGAUCCGUAGCUGGUCUGAGAGGAUGAUCAGCCACACUGGGACUGAGACACGGCCCAGACUCUACGGGAGGCAGCAGUGGGGAAUAUUGGACAAUGGGCGCAAGCCUGAUCCAGCCAUGCCGCGUGAGUGAAGAAGGCUUCGGGUUGUAAACUGCUUUUGUACGGAACGAAAAGACUCCUUCUAAUAAAGGGGGUACAUGACGGUACCGUAAGAAUAAGCACCGGCUAACUACGUGCCAGCAGCCGCGGUAAU